ensembl:lncRNA
AAUAGAUGUCAUAUGUCCCGGGCCGAGCAUGGAAGACAUGGAAUUUCCUGAUCCUCCUGCCUCCAGCUCCAGGCCCUGAACUUCCUAUGGACCCGAAGCUCCUGCUUCCACCCCCCAACUGCUGGGAGUAUAAUUGUGCCACCAUGCCUGGCUUGUAAGAUCCUGGGAAUGGAAUCCAGGACUUCAUGAAUGCUAGGAGUGGACCCAGCGGCUGAAGGACAUAGGCUGCUGGCUCACCAGAAGAAAGGAAUCCUUCCAGAACCACACCUCCAAACCCAGAGGCCAGAAGCAGAUGGCAGCAGCAGAUAAGUGCAGGGGGUUCACUUGUCAGGGCUCUGACCGCGUCUGGGAGGGAUCAGCUGGGACAAGGGGCGUGUUCUUCUGCCACAGGCUGUUCCUGGUGUGUUGUGGAACGAGGCCGGGCAGAGGCAGCAGUACACGGUGUUCUGCAGGAAGGCAGGCAGGCGAGCUCCAAAUACGGACAUGCGAUAGGAAGCUUGGCUCCAGGAGUGCAGACGCCUCACACAGGAAGCAAACCAACCAGCCCAACCCAGCUCCCAAGUGUCACACAGCCAGGGAGGGAGACGGGGCUGCGAUGUGAGGAACUGAUUGUCCAGGCUUCAAAAGACCAAAUAAAUAAGCCGAUAAAUGAACCAUGAACCACCGAAGAGCCCUGAGCCACCAAAGAGAGGAAGAACGGUCCUCAGUCAAACCAAACUUUCUGAGGAGGAAGGGCUGGCCUUCUCAGCUCUGUUGUUGCUUUAGAAGCAGCUGAGGAGUUGACUGCCCCUGCAACUCUCCCAGGGCAACGCUGGCUGUCCCUGCACCUUUCAGAAAGGGAAAUAGUCCCUUCAUCUGAGCCAGGGCCACCAGCUCUGCGGUGAGGACCAAUUCUCUAUGUUGAAGGUCAGGUUUCUACUCUGAGUUGAAAGAAUAACUGGAAAGGCAGGCGUCUGGGAGACUCCUGCCACCGGUUGCUACCCACGUGAUAGCUGAUGGUGACUGGGGGGCAGUGGGCUGUGAAAUGUGCCAUCUGAAGUCAGAGCGGACUUGAGUUUGAACACCACCCCCUCUGCUUACCAGCUGCUUUACCCUGGUAAGUAAUGAAUUCCCAUUAAGACUCCAUCUCCUCCUGUGUUGGAAGCACUAUGACAUUCAACCUGGAUAGUGAAAUGGAACCAGACAGUCUUGGGUGAAGUCUUCCUAGACCGAUGAACAAAUGUCUACUCACCAACCACAGACCAAAAAAAAAAAACCCAAAAAAACAAAAAAAACAAUUCACACCCAAGUCUGUCUUGGUGUAGCAGUGAAUUCAAUUCCAGCUACUUACAGGUGUGUGGCAGCUUGUGAGCUUUGUUUUGUUUUGUUUUGUUUUUUGUUUUUUUUUUUUUUUUCGAGACAGGGUUUCUCUGUCCUGGAACUAGCUCUUGUAGACCAGGCUGGCCUCGAACUCACAGAGAUCCACCUGCCUCUGCCUCCCAAUGCCCGGCAGCUUGUGAGCUUCUAUACACUGAAGAAAAGGUUUCUUACUCCCCGCCUCUCCCCGCCCCAGUCCAUAUAUCCUCAGGAGGGGCAGGGUCUUGUGAACCUCUUGCCCCAGGAACUGCUUAUGUACACAGAGGUUCCCAGGAAUGGAUGGCUUUCCCAGAGUUCCUUCUGUCAGUCAUGGAAACUGAGAGAGGAGAGAGAGAGAGAGAGAGAGGAGAGGAGAGGAGAGGAGAGAGAAGAGAGAGAGAGAGAGAGAGAGAGAGAGAGAGAGAGAGAGAGAGAGAGAAUGUUUCCCUGUGGCUCCCCUAGCAACAUCUAACUGUCUAUAUAUCUUCAGGGAGAGGCCAGGCUUCCGAACCACACCCAUCUGGAGAGUUUAACUGGCUCAGUCUUUGCAAGUUUCUUUUGAAUAGUCCCAGCUGCUGAGAAUUCAAGGUGAGGGCCUUGUCAUGCCUAGAGGACAGAGUUCCUAGCAGAUGGCACAUUGCAAUGCAUUCAAAAGGUGCUUAUUAAGUGCCCCAUAAUCCUCUAGUAACAGGAAGGGCUGUUAUUAUCAGUUUCUUGUGUAAGUGACUUCUCCCUGAAUAAAAUUAACCUAUGAUGAUGGUGGUGGUGAUGACAUGAGACUUGAGUAGAAGCCACUGUGAGCUUGAGGGACCAAACAAUGAGCAACGGGUGGCAUAAGAUGUCCUGAUCCAGGUAGCCACUUCUGUUACUGCCUAUCCAUUUUCAGAAGCCUUCAAUAGAAUUUAGUUUUUGUUUUUCUUUUUUGAGACAGGGGUUUUCUGUAGCUUUGGAGGCUGUCCUGGAACUAACUCUUGUAGACCAGGCCGGCCUCGAACUCACAGAGAUCUGCCUGCCUCUGUCUCCUGAGUGCUGGGAUUGAAGGCGUGCUCCACCACUGUCUGGCUCCUUCAAUAGAAUUUUAAAAACUUUUAUUAUGAGGUGUGUAUGUGUGUGUGUGGGGGGGGUGGAGGGGUGGGAGGGUGUCCAAGCCCAGACCACAGCAAGUGUGUAGACAUUGUUCUUUUUUUUCUUUUUUUUUUUUUUUGGUAUUUCUCUGUGUAGCUUUGGAUCCUCUCCUGGCACUCACUCCGGAGACCAGGCUGGCCUUGAAUUCACAGAGAUCCGCCUGCCUCUGCCUCCCGAGUGCUGGGAUUAAAGGCGUACGCCACCAACGCCUGGCGUGUGUGGACAUUGUAAGACAACUUUUGUUUUGAGAUAGGAUCUUCCCAUGUAUCUUAGGCUGGCCUUGAACUCAUCAUAUAGCCAAGGCUAGCCUUGAACUCCUUAUAAUCACAAGUCUCCACUUUCUUAAGUGUUAAGAUUACAGGCUUGCAUCAUCACACCCAGCUCAAACUGGCUUUUAUAACAGACUUACCACCAAGGUGACUCAUUGAUCUGUUAAUCCUGGAUGGAUUAAUACAUUCCUCCAGGCAGAAUCCUCUAGACUAAUCAUUUCUCUAGCCAGUGAGAUGGCUCAGGUAUAGUGCUUGCUGAUGAACCUGACAAUAUGAGUUCAAUCCCGGGACCUACACAACGGAAGAACAGCACUGAUUUUUAAAAGUAGCUGUUUGGGGGCUGGAGUGAUGGUUUAGUGGUUAAGAUCAGUGGCUGCUCUUAUAGAGGAACUGGAUUGUAGAAGGAGACCUACCAGAGGCACCGUGGCGCUGACCAUGCCCGUUUGGGCAUAGUCACGGGUGUGUACAUGAGCAAGUAGGAUUUGGUCUGGGCCAGGGACAAGCUUGUUCUCUCUUGGUUCCGGUUGGGUUGUGAAGAGCCACUGGGCGUGGAUCCUUGGAGCUGGGACUUGAGGAUUAUCAGUUUCUUGUGUAAGUGACUUCUCCCUGAAUAAAAU